UACGUAGGGGGCAAGCGUUGUCCGGAUUUACUGGGCGUAAAGAGCGUGUAGGCGGCCACGCAGGUCCGUUGUGAAAACUGGAGGCUCAACCUUCAGACGUCGACGGAAACCGUAUGGCUAGAGUCCGGAAGAGGAGAGUGGAAUUCCUGGUGUAGCGGUGAAAUGCGCAGAUAUCAGGAAGAACACCAAUGGCGAAGGCAGCUCUCUGGGACGGUACUGACGCUG
rnacentral:rRNA from 1 species